CGUUCAGGGCUAGGGAUUAAAAGGGAAUCAGGUGAAAAUCCUGAACAGACCCGCUGCUGUAAGCCCUACAAAAAGGGAUGUCCACACCGCAAUUGCCACUGCCCCACGGGACGGGAAGGCGGACAGACCAGGGUAAGUCAGAAGACCUGCAAGACAAA
rnacentral:ncRNA from 1 species